rnacentral:rRNA from 1 species
AACGUGAGAAUUCACCUUUAGGAGAGGAAUAACAAUUGGAAACGAUUGCUAAUGCCCCGUAUGCUCGCAAGAGCGAAAGGAAAGCAAUUUUUGCUUUUGCCUAAAGAGAAGCUCGCGGCUGAUUAGCUAGUUGGUAAGGUAAUGGCUUACCAAGGCGACGAUCAGUAGCUGGUUUGAGAGAACGAUCAGCCACACUGGAACUGAGACACGGUCCAG